rfam:Otolemur garnettii contig013996, whole genome shotgun sequence.
GUUAAUGAAAGUUUGUUGAGACUAAGAUUGGAAGAAUACAGAGAUGAUGAGCGUGGCCCCCGCCACAAGGCUGACACACAAACUCAUGAAGUGCUCUAUAUUUUU